rnacentral:piRNA from 1 species
UGCCAUAGGGAAUACCAACAUGGUGGUUC